AGUGAACGCUGGCGGUAGGCCUAACACAUGCAAGUCGAACGGCAGCACAGUAAGAGCUUGCUCUUACGGGUGGCGAGUGGCGGACGGGUGAGGAAUACAUCGGAAUCUACUUUUUCGUGGGGGAUAACGUAGGGAAACUUACGCUAAUACCGCAUACGACCUACGGGUGAAAGCAGGGGAUCUUCGGACCUUGUGCGAUUGAAUGAGCCGAUGUCGGAUUAGCUAGUUGGCGGGGUAAAGGCCCACCAAGGCGACGAUCCGUAGCUGGUCUGAGAGGAUGAUCAGCCACACUGGAACUGAGACACAGUCCAGACUCCUACGGGAGGCAGCAGUGGGGAAUAUUGGACAAUGGGCGCAAGCCUGAUCCAGCCAUACCGCGUGGGUGAAGAAGGCCUUCGGGUUGUAAAGCCCUUUUGUUGGGAAAGAAAAGCAGCAGGUUAAUACCCCGCUGUUCUGACGGUACCCAAAGAAUAAGCACCGGCUAACUUCGUG
rnacentral:rRNA from 1 species